rnacentral:pre_miRNA from 1 species
AAUAAUCUGGUGAUGUAGUCAAAUAUCAGCUGGUAAUUCUGGGAUUUUGACAAUAACCCAGGAUUCUUGCUGGUAUCCGGCUACGAACUGGACGAUCGCC